rnacentral:misc_RNA from 1 species
GGUUAAUUGUCCCAUCUGACCAACAUUCGUUUGUUGAUCAGCCGUGGGGAUCGAUCGCAGUCUGGGUCCCUCAAAGAUCCAGUCUGCCCAAGUAUUUAUUAGGUGCUUCCUUGCAUGGGCGCAAUUGUUCAUUCACUUGCGUCCAACACAAGCCGCACUCGAGUAUUCAUCUCGUAUGUCUCUCUUGUCAACGGUUUGGGCAACGAACUUCUGAUUCCGUCCUCGGACGGUAUCCGAAUCUCCCCUAUUAAACAUUGGAAACCCAACACUUCUC